rnacentral:rRNA from 1 species
CUGGCUCAGGAUGAACGCUAGCUACAGGCUUAACACAUGCAAGUCGAGGGGCAGCAUGAAGUUGCUUGCAAACUUGAUGGCGACCGGCGCACGGGUGAGUAACGCGUAUCCAACCUUCCCCUUACUAGGGAAUAGCCCGGCGAAAGUCGGAUUAAUGCCCUAUGUUCUCCUUUGCGGGCAUCUAACGAGGAGCAAAGAUUCAUCGGUAAGGGAUGGGGAUGCGUCUGAUUAGCCAGUUGGCGGGUAACGGCCCACCAAGGCGACGAUCAGUAGGGGUUCUGAGAGGAAGGUCCCCCACAUUGGUACUGAGACACGGACCAAACUCCUACGGGAGGCAGCAGUGAGGAAUAUUGGUCAAUGGACGAGAGUCUGAACCAGCCAAGUAGCGUGCAGGAAUGACUGCCCUAUGGGUUGUAAACUGCUUUUAUGCGGGAAUAAAGUCAGGUACGCGUACCUGUUUGUAUGUACCGCAUGAAUAAGGACCGGCUAAUUCCGUGCCAGCCGCAGC